AAAACAACUCUCAGCAACGGAUAUCUUGGCUCUUGCAACGAUGAAGAACGCAGCGAAAUGCGAUACGUAGUGUGAAUUGCAGAAUUCCGCGAAUCAUCGAGUUUUUGAACGCAAGUUGCGCCCGAGGCUUGUCCGAGGGCAUUUCCGCCAGAGCGUCACC
rnacentral:rRNA from 1 species